rnacentral:snRNA from 1 species
CAAAAGGGCUUCUGCCAUGUCUAGCACAGGGAGGGUGAGGGACUCUCACCCACCUUGCGGAAUCGCCAUCAAGGGAUUUCGGAAGCAUAAUUUUUAACAACAGAGGCUGCUGGUGAUCUCAUGUCCCGGCGCCUCC